rnacentral:rRNA from 1 species
UACGUAGGGUGCGAGCGUUAAUCGGAAUUACUGGGCGUAAAGCGUGCGCAGGCGGUUUUGUAAGUCAGGUGUGAAAGCCCCGGGCUUAACCUGGGAAUGGCAUUUGGGACUGCAAGGCUGGAGUUUGGCAGAGGAGACUGGAAUUCCUGGUGUAGCAGUGAAAUGCGUAGAUAUCAGGAGGAAUACCGAUGGCGAAGGCAGGUCUCUGGGCUAUAACUGACGCUCAUGCCCGAAAGCGUGGGGAGCAAACAGG